rnacentral:lncRNA from 1 species
UGUAAAUUGCCUCUUUUCCAUCUGUAUGUUCUUCUUACCAGAAUCCAAAUUGUCUUCAGGAAUUUACAUUCUUCUGUGUGUCUCCAUGGUUGGUGGCCCUACUUAAGAUUCUCCAAAACCUUCUUCCUUGACAGUAAUUGGUUUAAGAAUGUGAUCCAAUAUAGCCCUAUGUCCUAUGAGAAGGAGUUGCUGGGGAUAUUGUAGUAAAUUUCUUCUUCCCUUUUUGGGAUUGUUUCUGAAAGCAGUUCUGUCUUUCUUAAAAUGUUGCUCUAUGUGGAUAUAAGACCCAAAACUGCUGAAGUCAUUGCACUUGAAGCUCAAUGCACAGAGGAGGCAUAGUUCAAUAAGAAAUUCAAGGAAACAUGGCCAGAAGUACUGGGUUAGGUGAACCUUGAAGCCUACAUUUAUCUAUACUUUCAGUAAGGUCAAAAUGUAUUCACUUUACUCAAUACUAGAAAAACAAUCUGAUCAAAAAAUAAGCAGAGGACUUAAAUGACAUCUUUCCAUAGAAAACUCACAGAUGGACAACAGGUACUUGGGUCUGAAUGGGCUCUCAGACUUAAUAUUUGUACUCAAUAUGGUCAGAACAGUCAUCUAGAAAACAAAGUUGAGAAUUCUGUGCUCAUAAAGAAACUACUGAAAGUAAGUAAGAAUCAACUCUGAUGGUCUGUGAGCAGAGAGGAAUAAUUAUUUCUUCUUAUAACUCCA